rnacentral:rRNA from 1 species
CCCUGAAGUCGGGAAUAGCUCCGGGAAACUGGAAUUAAUACCGGAUGUGGCGUAGGAUCCGCAUGGAUCUUUCGCUAAAGGCGCAAGCCGCUUCAGGAGGAGCUCGCGUCCUAUUAGCUAGUUGGCGGGGUAACGGCCCACCAAGGCUUAGAUGGGUAGCUGGUCUGAGAGGACGACCAGCCGCAUUGGGACUGAGACACUGCCCAGACUCCUACGGGAGGCUGCAGUCGAGAAUCUUGGGCAAUGGGCGAAAGCCUGACCCAGCAAUUCCGCGUGCGGGAUGAAGGUCUUCGGAUUGUAAACCGCUGUCACUGGGGACGAAAUAUGACGGUACCUGGAGAGGAAGACACGGCUAACUACGUGCCAGCAGCCGCGGUAAUACGUAGGUGUCGAGCGUUGUUCGGAUUUAUUGGGCGUAAAGGGUCCGCAGGUGGUCUGAUAAGUCUGGUGUGAAAUCCCGGAGCUCAACUCCGGAACUGCAUUGGAGACUGUCGGACUUGAGUAUCGGAGAGGAGAUUGGAACUCCAGGUGUACCGAUAAAAUGCGUAGAUAUCUGGAAGAACACCGUAAGCGAAGGCAGAUCUCUGGACGAUAACUGAC